AUACUUACCUUUUCUCUCUGUCCCCAGCUCAAGAACCGGGGUCAGGAGCCGAGGAGGCCUGCAUUGCACAGCGCGGAGCCGACUCUGCUCUAUCGUCCCUAGGGAUCAUAGGAGGAGCAAUUUUUGUUAUUUUUCUUGGCUUGAU
rnacentral:snRNA from 13 species